rnacentral:rRNA from 1 species
UACGUAGGGCGCAAGCGUUAUCCGGAAUUAUUGGGCGUAAAGAGCUCGUAGGCGGUUUGUCGCGUCUGCCGUGAAAGUCCGGGGCUCAACUCCGGAUCUGCGGUGGGUACGGGCAGACUAGAGUGAUGUAGGGGAGACUGGAAUUCCUGGUGUAGCGGUGAGAUGCGCAGAUAUCAGGAGGAACACCGAUGGCGAAGGCAGGUCUCUGGGCAUUAACUGACGCUGAGAAGCGAAAGCAUGGGGAGCGAACAGG